CUCAUAUUUUCUUUCUAUAAAUAGGCCCCUCCACAAAUUAUACUUAUAAAAUAAUAAUGUCCUCAGCCCAAAUUAAAACUUGCCCUCUAUCUGUAUGAAACACCAACCACUCUUUCUUCUUCUCUUCCAAGUUUUUGCUGUAUUAAUUAACACUGUUUAUAGGGUAAUUGAAUGUGUGAAACGGCAGAGGAGGAGAAAGAAGAGGGAAAAAUGGAGUGGGUGAUAUUGUUGACAGAAGAUAGAGAGCACAUAUGAUGAAAUGCUGCUGCUGCUAAAUCUGUCUGGAGAGUCCAACAAUAAAUAAAAGCAUUUCACUUCAUUUGUGCUCUCUAUGCUUCCGUCAUCCCUUUCACCCACUUUUCCUUCUAUUUUUCUCUUCCUCUCCCUAAAUCUAACUUGUUCAAUUUUAGGUUUUCUUAUUCUUCCAAUUUCUAUUAAAGGAAAGAUGGGGGCUACCUAGCAUCAUUCACCCAUAAUUAUCCUCUCUUUUUAUUUUCUUUUGUUGUGCAGGUUUUGUCACAACGAACGAACAUCUGUACACUGUAUUAUUUUAUGUAUUCGCUCUGAUUAUGGCCAACCAUUCUAUUGGAUGAGUUACUGUUCUCUAAUCUGCUCAACUUCCAUUGACAAAUUCUAUACUUGAAACACAUAAUUUGGAUCUCUCUCGACCUCUACAAUUACAUGUAAUCUCUCCCCUCUCUCUCUUCAUUAUCUGAACUUA